rnacentral:rRNA from 1 species
UGGGGAAUAUUGGGCAAUGGGGGAAACCCUGACCCAGCAACGCCGCGUGAAGGAAGAAGGCUUUCGGGUUGUAAACUUCUUUUACCAGGGACGAAGAAAGUGACGGUACCUGGAGAAAAAGCCACGGCUAACUACGUGCCAGCAGCCGCGGUAAUACGGAGGAUGCGAGCGUUAUCCGGAUUUAUUGGGUUUAAAGGGUGCGUAGGCGGCGCGUCAAGCCGGUGGUAAAAUUGCGGGGCUCAACCCCGUAGAGCCAUCGGAACUGGCGUGCUUGAGUGGAGAAGAAGUAUGCGGAAUGCGAGGUGUAGCGGUGAAAUGCAUAGAUAUCGCGCAGAACUCCGAUUGCGAAGGCAGCGUACUAUUCUCCAACUGACGCUGAGGCACGAAAGCGUGGGGAUCGAACAGGAUUAGAUACCCU